rnacentral:rRNA from 1 species
AGUGAACGCUGGCGGUAGGCCUAACACAUGCAAGUCGAACGGUAGCACAGUAAGAGCUUGCUCUUACGGGUGGCGAGUGGCGGACGGGUGAGGAAUACAUCGGAAUCUACUUUUUCGUGGGGGAUAACGUAGGGAAACUUACGCUAAUACCGCAUACGACCUACGGGUGAAAGCAGGGGAUCUUCGGACCUUGCGCGAUUGAAUGAGCCGAUGUCGGAUUAGCUAGUUGGCGGGGUAAAGGCCCACCAAGGCGACGAUCCGUAGCUGGUCUGAGAGGAUGAUCAGCCACACUGGAACUGAGACACGGUCCAGACUCCUACGGGAGGCAGCAGUGGGGAAUAUUGGACAAUGGGCGCAAGCCUGAUCCAGCCAUACCGCGUGGGUGAAGAAGGCCUUCGGGUUGUAAAGCCCUUUUGUUGGGAAAGAAAAGAAGCAGGUUAAUACCCCGCUGUUCUGACGGUACCCAAAGAAUAAGCACCGGCUAACUUCGUG